CAUCUACUCCCUCCGUCCGAAAAUACUUGUCAUCAAAAUGGAUAAAAAGGGAUGUAUCUAGAACUAAUAUACAUCUAGAUACAUCCCUUUUUAUUCGUUUUGAUGACAAGUAUUUCCGAACGGAGGGAGUAUUCG
rnacentral:pre_miRNA from 1 species